UACGUAGGGUGCAAGCGUUAAUCGGAAUUACUGGGCGUAAAGCGUGCGCAGGCGGUUUUGUAAGUCUGACGUGAAAUCCCCGGGCUCAACCUGGGAAUUGCGUUGGAGACUGCAAGGCUAGAGUCUGGCAGAGGGGGGUGGAAUUCCACGUGUAGCAGUGAAAUGCGUAGAGAUGUGGAGGAAUACCGAUGGCGAAGGCAGCCCCCUGGGAUGAUACUGACGCUCAUGCACGAAAGCGUGGGGAGCAAACAGG
rnacentral:rRNA from 1 species